UACAUGGGGUGCAAACGUUGCUCGGAAUUAUUGGGCGUAAAGCGCACGUAGGCGGUUCGUUAAGUCGGAUGUGAAAGCCCUCGGCUCAACUGAGGAAGUGCACCCGAAACUGGCGAGCUUGAGUACGAAAGAGGAUCGCGGAAUUCCCGGUGUAGAGGUGAAAUGCGCAGAUAUCAGGAAGAACACCGGUGGCGAAGGCGGCCUGCUGGGCUAUGGCUGACACUGAGGCGCGACAGCGUGGGGAGCAAACAGG
rnacentral:rRNA from 1 species